rnacentral:rRNA from 1 species
AGAGUUUGAUAAUGGAUAAAAAGCAACGCUGGGGGCGUGCCUCAGACAUGCAAGUCGAACGAUUAAAGCCCUCUUCGGAGGGUUUUUCUUCCUGAAGCACGGGUGAGUAACACGUAAGUAAUCUACCCUCGGGUGGGGAAUAACAACCGGAAACGGUUGCUAAUACCGCAUACUGCAUCGCCUCCUUAUGGAGACGUUUGUUAAAGGAUUUAUUCGCCUGAGGAGCACCUUGCGUAUUUUACUAGUUGGGAAGGAAAGGGUUACCAGGGUUCGAUCUGG